CCUACGGGAGGCUGCAGUGGGGAAUAUUGCGCAAUGGGCGAAAGCCUGACGCAGCGACGCCGCGUGAGGGAUGAAGGUCUUCGGAUCGUAAACCUCUGUCAGCAGGGAAGAACGGUCACUGGGCUAAGCAGCAGUGAAUUGACGGUACCUGCAAAGGAAGCACCGGCUAACGCCGUGCCAGCAGCCGCGGUAAUCCGGAGGGGGCGAGCGUUAAUCGGAAUUACUGGGCGUAAAGCGCUCGUAGGCGGUAUGUCAAGUCAAGGGUGAAAUCCCCGCGCUCAACGUGGGAACUGCCUUUGAACCUGUCAAACUGGCUUGUGUGAGAGGUUAGUGGAAUUCCAGUUGU
rnacentral:rRNA from 1 species